GUCUUCGUAUUGGAGAUGUAUUUGGUAAAAACAGGACAUAAAGAUUGAGAUGUCUUCGUAUUGGAGAUGUAUUUGGUAAAAACAGGACAUAAAGAUUGAGAUGUCUUCGUAUUGGAGAUGUAUUUGGUAAAAACAGACAUAAAGAUUGAGAUGUCUUCGUAUUGGAGAUGUAUUUGGUAAAAACAGGACAUAAAGAUUGAGAUGUCUUCGUAUUGGAGAUGUAUUUGGUAAAAACAGGACAUAAAGAUUGAGAUGUCUUCGUAUUGGAGAUGUAUUUGGUAAAAACAGACAUAAAGAUUGAGAUGUCUUCGUAUUGGAGAUGUAUUUGGUAAAAACAGACAUAAAGAUUGAGAUGUCUUCGUAUUGGAGAUGUAUUUGGUAAAAACAGGACAUAAAGAUUGAGAUGUCUGUUUGCCAUGGUAAAAACAGGACAUAAAGAUUGAGAUGUCUGUUUGCCAUGGUAAAAACAGACAUAAAGAUUGAGAUGUCUGUUUGCCAUGGUAAAAACAGGACAUAAAGAUUGAGAUGUCUUCGUAUUGGAGAUGUAUUUGGUAAAAACAGGACAUAAAGAUUGAGAUGUCUGUUUGCCAUGGUAAAAACAGACAUAAAGAUUGAGAUGUCAGUUUGCCAUGGUAAAAACAGGACAUAAAGAUUGAGAUGUCUUCGUAUUGGAGAUGUAUUUGGUAAAAACAGGACAUAAAGAUUGAGAUGUCUUCGUAUUGGAGAUGUAUUUGGUAAAAACAGACAUAAAGAUUGAGAUGUCUUCGUAUUGGAGAUGUAUUUGGUAAAAACAGGACAUAAAGAUUGAGAUGUAUUUGGUAAAAACAGACAUAAAGAUUGAGAUGUCUUCGUAUUGGAGAUGUAUUUGGUAAAAACAGGACAUAAAGAUUGAGAUGUCUUCGUAUUGGAGAUGUAUUUGGUAAAAACAGGACACUUGUCAUCUCAAAGCACAAACAAUGACAGACAGAAAACCAGCAGAGUCAAUGCUAAAUAACAUUGGCCUGUAUGUAUGUGUGAAAGAUAAUACUCGCUUGUCAAAAGUAGUGCACUAUAAAGGGAAUAGGGAACCA